rnacentral:rRNA from 1 species
UACGGGGGGGUAAGCGUUGUUCGGAAUUACUGGGCGUAAAGGGCUCGUAGGCGGCCAACUAAGUCAGACGUGAAAUCCCUCAGCUUAACUGGGGAACUGCGUCUGAUACUGGAUGGCUUGGAUUCGGGAGAGGAAUGCGGAAUUCCAGGUGUAGCGGUGAAAUGCGUAGAUAUCAGGAGGAACACCGAUGGCGAAGGCAGGUCUCUGGGCUGACACUGACGCUCAUGCACGAAAGCGUGGGGAGCAAACAGG